UACAACACAGCCUGGACUACAACACACAGACUGGACUACAACACAGCCUGGACUACAACACACAGACUGGACUACAACACAGCCUGGACUACAACACACUGCCUGGACUACAACACACAGCCUGGACUACAACACACAGACUGGACUACAACACACAGCCUGGACUACAACACACAAACUGGACUACAACACAGCCUAGACUACAACACACAGACUGGACUACAACACACAGACUGGACUACAACACACAAACUGGACUACAACACAGCCUAGACUACAACACACAGACUGGACUACAACACACAGACUGGACUACAACACACAAACUGGACUACAACACACAGACUGGACUACAACACACAAACUGGACUACAACACAGCCUAGACUACAACACACAGACUGGACUACAACACACAGCCUGGACUACAACACACAGCCUGGACUACAACACACAGCCUGUUGCUUUAGUUAUUGGCUAAUGUGCUCAAGUUAGACUUUUUUCUAAUCCAAGCAAGGACAAAACUUCAUGUCUGAGGGGUGUCCUCUGCCACAGAUGUCAUCUUUGUUUUGGCCCGCUGGCAGCCAAGGACUUCAGGGACCUCAACAAAGAGGCGCCCUCACUGAUGUUGACUAUGGAACUCCGAAGAUAAAGAGGGACGCGAGAGAUGAACCUUAGAACAUGUCAUCAGUGUUUGAACCUGACAUCUGACAUCACACUGACAAAGACAAGACCUUCUGGAGGAAAGUUCUGUGGUCAGAUGAAACAAAAAGUGAGCUGUUUGGCCACAAUAGCCAGCAACAUGUUUGGAGGAGAAAAGGUGAGGCCUUUAAUCGCAGGAACACCAUACCUACCGUUAAGCAUGGUGGUGGUAGUAUUAUGCUCUGGGCCUGUUUUACUGCCAAUGGAACUGCUGCUUUAAAUGGGACAAUGAAAAAGGAGGAUUAGCUCCAAAUUCUUCAAGACAACCUACCUAAAUCAUCAGGGGGGAGGUUGGGUCUUGGGCACAGUUGGGUGUUCCAACAGGACAAUGACCCCAAACACACCUCAAAGGUGGUAAAGGAAUGGCUAAAUCAAGCUAGAAUGAAGGUUUUAGAAUGGCCUUCCCAAAGUCCUGACUUAUAAACAUGUGGACAACGCUGAAGAAACAAGUCCAGCACAUUUAGCUGAACUGCAGCAAUUUUGUGGUGAAAAAUGUGCACAGAAGCUUGUGGAUGGCUAGCAAAAGCACCUUAUUGCAGGUAAACUUGCCAAGGGACAUGUAAGCAAAUAUUAACAUUGCUGUAUGUCGGGGUCGGCAACCUGCAGCUCUUUAGCGCCGCCCUAGUGGCUCUCUGGAGCUUUUUCAAAAAUGUAUGAAAAAUGGAAAAAGAUGAAGGGAAAAAACAUAUUUUUUGUUUUAAUGUAGUUUCUGUAGGAGGACAAACAUGACACAAACCUCCCUAAUUGUUAUAAAGCACACUGUUUGUAUUAAACAUGCUUCACUGAUUCCAGUAUUUGGCGAGCGCCGUUUUCCAUCCAUCCAUUUUCUACUGCUUAUUCCCUUUUUGGGGUUGCGGGGGACGCUGGCGCUUAUCUCAGCUACAAUCGGGCGGAAGGCGGGAUACACCCUGGACAAGUCGCCACCUCAUCGCAGGGCCAACACAGAUAGACAACAUUCACACACUAGGAACCAUUUAGUGUUGCCAAUCAACCUAUCCCCAGGUGCAUGUCUUUGGAGGUGGGAGGGGCCUAUCCCCAGGUGCAUGUCUUUGGAGGUGGGAGGGGCCUAUCCCCAGGUGCAUGUCUUUGGAGGUGGGAGGGGCCUAUCCCCAGGCACAUAUCUUUGGAGGUGGGAGGGGCCUAUCCCCAGGUGCAUGUCUUUGGAGGUGG